GUUGGAUUUAAAUCUCUUCUGGAUCUUCACUGUAUCAAUCCUCUGGCAUCCUCAAUGACUUGCAACAACGCCCUUGUCCUCAAGGGAAAACUGUGGAAACCUCAAUGCAAGAUUCUCUGCAAGCUCCCAUGCAGCUUCUGCACGAGACAAACCUUUCCAUAGAACCAGCACAUGGGUAGCAGCUUGGUUGAAACGCUUAACAAUCCUUCGAUCCAACACUGCCUGGGGUAGAAGCAAAGGCUCCUUCGGCAUCACAGGUUGUUCAAGUGUUGAAGAAUUUCUUUAUCUGGGACUAUCUGUAGCGUCUGAAUUUGGAGGGGUCACCCAAGAGUGCUUCAUGAGAGGUUGUUUGCUGAUUUACCACUGAAUUACAUGUAAGCGAUACUUCCGUGAUGCAACUGUCUGCACCGCCAUCUGGACUAAGAACGCUAGCAUUCAGGAAUGGAGGUUGCUUUGGAGAGGGAAUUUCACAUUGGGCAUCGGUGAGCAUCUGUACUACUUCAUUCAUGGACGGUCUUAGCCUUGAAGAAGCUUGUGUGCAUAGAAGUCCUAUUUGAAGCACCUUUUCUGCCUGUUUCUGGGAAAACAUACCUCUUAAGCCAGGAUCAACCAUGUCUGUAAUUGUAUUAGCUUUGUAAUGCUUCCAAACCUGAUAUCAGAAUGAUGAAAAACACUGUCAAUAGGCAUGUAACACAUUCUUGCCGGUUGUAAAACACUCCAUAUUGCUAACAAAGGUCUCAAUGAUCAAAUAGAAAUGAUUUCCAUA